AUUGAACGCUGGCGGCAUGCCUUACACAUGCAAGUCGAACGGCAGCACGGGUGCUUGCCCCUGGUGGCGAGUGGCGAACGGGUGAGUAAUACAUCGGAACAUGUCCUGUAGUGGGGGAUAGCCCGGCGAAAGCCGGAUUAAUACCGCAUACGAUCUACGGAUGAAAGCGGGGGACCUUCGGGCCUCGCGCUAUAGGGUUGGCCGAUGGCUGAUUAGCUAGUUGGUGGGGUAAAGGCCUACCAAGGCGACGAUCAGUAGCUGGUCUGAGAGGACGACCAGCCACACUGGGACUGAGACACGGCCCAGACUCCUACGGGAGGCAGCAGUGGGGAAUUUUGGACAAUGGGCGAAAGCCUGAUCCAGCAAUGCCACGUGUGUGAAGAAGGCCUUCGGGUUGUAAAGCACUUUUGUCCGGAAAGAAAUCCUUGGCCCUAAUACGGUCGGGGGAUGACGGUACCGGAAGAAUAAGCACCGGCUAACUACGUG
rnacentral:rRNA from 1 species